rnacentral:rRNA from 1 species
CCCGGAUGAUGGGUGGCCGACGGCGGAGGGUAGGGUCUCUUUUUGCUCGAGUUUAGGCGACAAAAAAGAAAAGAGCUGAACGAGGACGAGCGAGCCGGGACCGGUAAAUACGCGCCUGUGUGCAAGAAGAGUCGUUAUUUGUUGCGGUCGCCCCGGCUAGCAACGAGCAAGGCGUAGGGCUAGGCGCCGAGGAGUAGUUCUCAGCAGCAGCAGUGAGGCCGAGGAGCGCCGGCCAAGAAACGAACGGAGGUUCUUUGGCAGCCGAACCGAAGAGUAAGGGCAGGGUUUAGGCAGGACAAUUAUCCGGGUCGAGUCGAAGAACGUAAUCGAAGAAGAGCCCCGCCUGAGAUCAAGAUCACACAACUAAACCUAACCUCAAAACCCCGUCCACGACGUUCGUUACCGCCUCCACGCCUCGGCCCACGCCCCCAAGGACGCCUUGGCCACCGACCACAAGCACCGCCGCUACACCUACGUCAGCCAGCGGCCCCACCCCAUGGACAAGCCGUCGGACAGCGGCCGCUAGUUCAGGAGCGAACCGAUGUUGGUCGCGGUCCACCGGUCGGAGCCGCAGCGGUUCCUAGACCCUCUGUCGCAGCCGAAGGAGCGGCCGUGCGAGACGCGGCACGAGGGCGAGACCCGGCGCGAGGAGUAGCCGCGGCGCGUCUUGGAGCAGCCUAUGCCGACCCAGACCGAGCGGCAGUGGGUGGCGCAGGGGCACGGUGGCGAGACCCGCUACACGUACGAUUAGAAACAACCUUUAUUACCACUCUGUAUGAAGUUAUGACGACGUGAGCAGAGUACACAAGUCUUGAAAGGGUUCUUGGCACCUGGUUAGCAACCAUAGGAGUUCCCUAAACGACCAAACUCACCACGUUAGAAUUGUGUCCAAAUACGUUAUUACGUGUGCGGACUACUACGGCGUGACUAUAAGUACCAACGACAACCGGGUUGUUACCAUCAGUAGCGAAAUUACAAGUAACAAUCUGGUCAAUUACCAGUGUCUGUUCAUGCCGGUAGACUACCAUGUUCAAAGUGCAAACAUAUGUCGCAGACGAAUCAGAACCGGCGGAUAGACUACCCACACUACGACGACCUUCUGGAACAACCGAACUCGGUGAGUAACUGUUAGAACACAUGGUAGUAAGAUUACCAAGAAAACGAUCAAGGUUAUCAGUAGGGACAUUACGACUCGAAGAAGAGUUUACUGCUGCUCUCACGGAUGUGCCGCGACAAUUGUAGUGGAGCCUCUCUUCUUCGUUCACCAAGUCAUAGCAGACUUCUCGUUCUUCAAUAUGAGUCGCUCCACCUGCUCGUUUUUGGCUUUCUUUAACUAGAUGAAGGUCGGAGACUCUCCGUUUUCUCCUAACGGCUUAACGUCCGAUUCGAUAAGGUCCGUCGACGACAACCACGGCAAUCCCAAUUUUCCUCCUUUCCAGGUGCUGCUCCUCUCCUAAAGUGCAACGACGUCCGUUACUAGUUCCGUCUAAAAACCGAAGAUAAAAAGAGGGAAGACAACCCCAGUCCUAGUCCAGAAUGACACUAACUAUUAGAACCCGUUUACUCAGUCAGUAACCCAAAACUCCUAAGAGUGUAAAAACACAGUUACUAAUCGUAAACCUUGAAGGAACCUGCAUAAAGACCCCCGAAGAAAAGUCUCUAAUAACAGUUCCUAAUGCGCAUAGGUUCCCGUUAACGGAACCGCUGUCGAGUUCAUAAGUACCGUUAACCUGUGAAGUAGAAGCGUUACCCAACCGGGCCGUGUUACAUGUAACCGUGUAACGAAUAGCCCGAGCCCAUGCCGCGGGUGACCCGCUAGCACGGUCGACGACGGAGGCUUGAUAAACCGCACUUCUUAAAGCCUCGUAACAUGUUGAAGGAAUGUCAGCGUUUGGGGCGUCCGAGGGACCAAAAGAGCCCGUAGUAACGGUCACCGUAGAUGCUGAUGCUUCGGUCCUUCGUUCGAUUGGUAUUGGUGAGUUGUAACGACCCUUACCAGAGGCUGCAGCGAGGCCGCGACUUCACGCUCCCGAGGUAGACGAAGAAGUAGAGCAGUUACUAGUACAGUCCCAAGACGUAGUAACGACGGCGGGACUCGAACUAGGACCAGGUGGCCUGUUUCUAGCACAUGUGCUUAGACAUGCCAUUUGGGGCCUGUACUCUCUAGUUUCCAGUAGCUCCUGUCUAGUUUCGAUUCCAUAGUUUCGUCUUCCCACUUCAAAUAAAAAAAAACGCAGAAGGAAGACAAAUACCUGAAGCGUAUAAGAAUACCACAGUUUUGGUACCGAUGACCACCGAUGCCUACCCUUCGCAUACCACAAAAACACGCAAAACAGGCUUGAAGAAGCCACAAAAAACCCCCCUAUACUUGAAGAAGUCACAACUCGACCUUGAAACGUAUAUGUACACCAGACAAGAUACAAAGUAGUUCCGACAACUUUUGAACUUUACGUUAUUUAACAGACUCGAGACGUUUAACCUCUCGAGUUGGAACAUGUACCACCACAGGAUUCAGACUCUUUGGUGUACUAUCGACACAUAAACAAAGGAUACUUAGACCGACCUCGUGGCAGAAAGUAAAUAUUUCUAACCGAUCCGACGGAGGAGUCAUAUACGAAUUUUAAAAGAAUAAUUAGGUACAAGAUCAAUAAUCAUCAUCAAAAAAAGGAUGAUCCUUAAAGAAAUAAAGCAAACAUCACCUACGUCAUCACGAAACCCGUCAUACGUCAUGUGAGUGAUCUAUAUAAGAUAG